rnacentral:rRNA from 1 species
GUCCACGCCGUAAACGAUGGACACUAGGCGUCGGGGGAGCGACCCUCCCGGUGCCGUCGCUAACGCAGUAAGUGUCCCGCCUGGGGAGUACGGCCGCAAGGCUGAAACUCAAAGGAAUUGACGGGGGCCCGCACAAGCGGUGGAGCAUGUGGUUUAAUUCGAAGCAACGCGAAGAACCUUACCUGGGCUUGACAUGCACGGGAAAGCCGGUGGAAACAUCGGUCCCUCUUCGGAGUCCGUGCACAGGUGCUGCAUGGCUGUCGU